rnacentral:ncRNA from 2 species
UCCAAGGGGCGCUGGCGCAAAGCCGGCUGAGACACAGCGUAACGCCGCUGUGACCCUCGAACCUGAUCCGGGUAAUGCCGGCGUAGGAAUGCGGAGAUAUU